rnacentral:misc_RNA from 1 species
GUAAACCCUCCUGCAAGCAUUCUAGCAUCAUCUCCUUCGCCGAAAACUGCAUACCAGACCUAGACUGAGGAUGAAGAACGCUGGUAAGAGUUUCAAAACCAAUCAUAAUGCCAAGUCCAAUGUCAGGAGUGAUAAGAAAUCGGCCACUGGCAUGAAUGGAUCUCCCAAGAAGGGAGGUCACGGCGGCAAGUACACUUGGGCUGGCGAUGGGUAUUCUCAGGCUGAGAUCGGAAUCCAGAGGGAAGCCGUGGACGUGAAGGAUCCCAACUUCGAAGACCCAGAAGAGGCCGAGGCCAAGUCCGAGAUCGUCUAAUUACGAUCAUGGUGAUUGUAGUAAUGACCAUCAAACUUUCUACUCUUUAUGAUAUGUAAAUAUUGCUGAUGUGGGAUGAUCCUCGUUUAAAUAAAUAUUUUUCUGGAAUUUUAUUUGAAAUUUACGAAAUAUUUUGAUUAUGCUUGCUGUGAUUUCGUGAUCUGAUCCCCGAUCUCUUAGAUUAUAGAACAAAAUGCCACUAGUACAUGCACUAUUUUCAGUAAGAUUUCAUCUUGAUGUGAUGGUGUCAGUGCAUGUAAAGUUCUGGAUUAGGCAAAUUAGUCUCUGUAUUGUGCUUUAAGCCUUUAACAUAUGUAUCAGCAUCUGCAAUGUUGGAGAAGAUAGACGGAGGAUUGAAGCUUGCAAUGUUUAAUGAUAUUGUAAGAAGGAAAUGAUAUUGGAACUGAUUUUACUGGCGAGAAUGCAAUUAGCAGGCGUCCCCAUUUAAAACUUUCAUGUCUGCAAUGCACGUCAGCUUCACCAUCUUUGCAUUAGUAUAGCUAAACCUCCGCAGGACAGGAACAAAUAGAUCCAAGAAUGGUUCUGCUCUAUUGGAAACAGAUUUGAAACUCCAUAGCUUUCUUGAGUUCUUUGAUUCUUCUGGUAAUCUUUGAUGCAGAACCAUAGAUGGUCAACU